UAAAGGAAAUAAGAGCGCACAGUGGAUGCCUAGGCACCAAGAGCUGAUGAAGGACGCAAUUAACGGCGAUACGCUACGGGGAGCUGUAAAUAAGUGUAGAUCCGUGGAUUUCCGAAUGGGGCAACCUACUAUAAGAAGUUAUAGUAUCAAUUGUUAGGCAACUAACUGAUUGAAAGGAACGCAGUGAACUGAAAUAUCUAAGUAACUGCAGGAACAGAAAGUAAUAACGAUUCCGGUAGUAGUGACGAGCGAAUCCGGAACAGCCGGAUACCAAUAACUAGUUACCAAAUUUUAAUUAACUCGAAAUAGUUGGAAAGCUAUAUCCCAGAAGGUGAAAAUCCUGUAGAGGUAAGUUAAAAUCUAGGGUAUCCUCAAGUACGGCGAGACACGAGAAAUCUUGUUGGAAGAUAGGAGGACCAUCUCCUAAGGCUAAAUACUCCUUGGUGACCGAUAGUGAACUAGUACCGUGAGGGAAAGGUGAAAAGAACCCCGGAAGGGGAGUGAAAUAGAUCCUGAAACUGUGUGCUUACAAGUAGUCAAAGCUCGUUUUAAGAGUGAUGGCGUGCCUUUUGCAGAAUGAACCGGCGAGUUAUGAUAUAGAGCAAGGUUAAGUUUGAAGGAACGUAGCCGUAGCGAAAGCGAGUCUGAAUAGGGCGUUUAGUUGUAUGUCAUAGACCCGAAACUGAAGUGAGCUAGCCAUGAACAGGCUGAAGUGACGUGACCACGUCAUGGAGGGCCGAACCAGGACACGUUGAAAAGUGUUUGGAUGAUUUGUGGCUAGAGGUGAAAUUCCAAUCGAACUCAGAGAUAGCUGGUUCUCCCCGAAAUAGCUUUAGGGCUAGCGUUGGGUAUUUAAUAGUUCUUGAAGGUAGAGCACUAAAUGAGUGCGGGCUCCACCUCGGGGUACCAAUCUCAAUUAAACUCCGAAUGUCAAGAACCGUAUCCCAGCAGUCAGACGAUGGGUGAUAAGGUCCAUGGUCAAAAGGGAAAGAGCCCAGACCGUCAGCUAAGGUCCCUAAAUUAAUGUUAAGUGGUUAAGGAAGUAAAAACGUUAAAACAAUUAGGAAGUUGGCUUAGAAGCAGCCAUCUUUUAAAGAGUGCGUAAUAGCUCACUAAUCUAAUAUUUUUGCACCGAAAAUGUAACGGGGCUAAACAUUAUACCGAAGCUACGGAUAUGUUCCGGCUAGUAAUAGCUAAGGAACAUGUGGUAGGGGAAGCGUUCUAACAUCGUAGAAGCUAUAGCGGAAGCAGUAGUGGAGAGGUUAGAAGUGAGAAUGCCGGUGUAAGUAACGAAAAGAUAGAUGAGAAUUCUAUCCGUCGAAAACCCAAGGUUUCCAGGGGCAGGGUCGUCCGCCCUGGGUUAGUCAGGAACUAAGGCGAGGCAGCAAUGCGUAGUCGAUGACCAGCAGGCUAAAAUUCCUGCACUAAAAAAAUCACUGAUGGAGGGACAAAAGAGGAUAAGCACGCCCUUUAUUGGAUUAGGGUCGAAAAAUCGAGUUUGAGAAGAUAGGCAAAUCCGUCUUCUUACUUGCCAAAAAAUGAGAUUUGAGGGUAACGUGACUGUGUUCAUAUUUUCUAGAAAAGCUUCUAGGGUUAAUGAUUUUUUUACCUGUACCGUAAACCGACACAGGUGGGAAGGUAGAGUAUACUAAGACGCGCGAGAAAACUCUUGUUAAGGAACUCGGCAAAAUGACUCCGUAACUUCGGGAUAAGGAGAGCUUUUAUGAUAAAAAGUAAAAGCCGCAGAGAAUAGGCCCAAGCGACUGUUUAUCAAAAACACAGGUCUCUGCUAAACCGUAAGGUGAUGUAUAGGGGCUGAUGCCUGCCCGGUGCUGGAAGAUUAAGAGGAGAUGUUCGGGCUUGCCCAAAGCAUUGAAUUGAAGUCCCAGUGAACGGCGGCCGUAACUAUAACGGUCCUAAGGUAGCGAAAUUCCUUGUCGGGUAAAUUCCGACCUGCACGAAAGGCAUAACGAUUUGGGCGCUGUCUCAACAAGAGUCUCGGUGAAAUCAAAUUACCGGUGAAAAUGCCGGUUACCCGCGACAGGACGAAAAGACCCCAUGGAGCUUUACUGUAGCUUAAUAUUGGAAUUGGAAAUCUCAUGUACAGGAUAGGUGGGAGACAGAGAACUUUAGACGCUAGUUUAAAGGGAGUCACCGGUGGGAUACCACUCUUGAGAUUUUUAGUUUCUAACCUGCAUAAGUGGAUUAUGAGGGACAGUGUUUGGUGGGCAGUUUGACUGGGGCGGUCGCCUCCUAAAAAGUAACGGAGGCGUUCAAAGGUUCCCUCAAAAUGGUCAGAAAUCAUUUUUAGAGCGUAAAGGUAUAAGGGAGCUUGACUGUGAGACCUACAAGUCGAGCAGGGACGAAAGUCGGACUUAGUGAUCUUGCGGUACCGAAUGGAAGGGCCGUGACUCAACGGAUAAAAGCUACCCUGGGGAUAACAGCCUUAUCGCCCCCGAGCGUUCACAGCGACGGGGCGGUUUGGGACCUCGAUGUCGGCUCAUCGCAUCCUGGAGCUGGAGCAGGUUCCAAGGGUUGGGCUGUUCGCCCAUUAAAGCGGUACGCGAGCUGGGUUCAGAACGUCGUGAGACAGUUCGGUCUCUAUCCGUCGUGGGCGUUGGAAAUUUGCGAGGAACUGUCCCUAGUAUGAGAAGACCGGGAUGGAUAUACCGCUGGUGCACCAGUUGGUUCGCCAGAGCCAUAGCUGGGUAGCUAUGUAUAGUAUGGAUAAACACUGAAAGCAUCUAAGUGUGAAGCCUCCCUCAAGAUGAGAUUUCCCUAAGAGAUCCCUGAAAGACGAUCAGGUUGAUAGGCUAGAAGUGGAAGAGUAGUGAUAUUUGGAGCUGACUAGUACUAAUAGAUCCAACGACUUUGAUGA
rnacentral:rRNA from 1 species